GACGAACGCUGGCGGCGCGCUUAACACAUGCAAGUCGAACGGAAAGGCCUGCUUUCCCUUGUGGAUUGCGGGUACUCGAGUGGCGAACGGGUGAGUAACACGUGAGUGAUCUGCCCCCAACUUGGGUAUAAGCCUGGGAAACUGGGUCUAAUUCCCGAUAGGACUGCAGGGUGGUGCCUGUGGUGGAAAACGAUUUUCUAGUGGUUGGGGAUGAGCUCGCGGCCUAUCAGCUUGUUGGUGGGGUAAUGGCCUACCAAGGCGGCGACGGGUAGCCGGCCUGAGAGGGUGGACCGCCACAUUGGGACUGAGAUACGGCCCAGACUCCGACGGGAGGCAGCAGUGGGGAAUAUUACACAAUGGGCGGAAGCCUGAUGCAGCGACGCCGCGUGGGGGAUGACGGCCUUCGGGUUGUAAACUCCUUUCGACCGCGAGGAAGCCACCUGGUUGGAAGGGUGGUGACGGUAGUGGUAGAAGAAGCACCGGCUAACUACGUG
rnacentral:rRNA from 1 species